UACGGAGGGUGCGAGCGUUGUCCGGAAUCACUGGGCGUAAAGGGCGCGUAGGCGGCGCGGGAAGUCCGUGGUGAAAGCCCGAGGCUCAACUUCGGGUCGGCCAUGGAUACUCCUGGGCUCGAGCACUGUAGAGGCAGGUGGAAUUCCGGGUGUAGCGGUGGAAUGCGUAGAGAUCCGGAAGAACACCGGGUGGCGAAGGCGGCCCCUGGAUCGGGACACUGACGC
rnacentral:rRNA from 1 species